AACGCUAGCUACAGGCUUAACACAUGCAAGUCGGGGGGCAGCAUUAUCGAAGCUUGCUUUGAUAGAUGGCGACCGGCGCACGGGUGAGUAACGCGUAUCCAACCUUCCCCAUAGUCAGGAAUAGCCCGGCGAAAGUCGAAUUAAUGCCUGAUGUUUUCCACGGACGGCAUCCGAUGUGGAACAAAGAUUGAUCGCUAUGGGAUGGGGAUGCGUCUGAUUAGCUUGUUGGCGGGGUAACGGCCCACCAAGGCAACGAUCAGUAGGGGUUCUGAGAGGAAGGUCCCCCACAUUGGAACUGAGACACGGUCCAAACUCCUACGGGAGGCAGCAGUGAGGAAUAUUGGUCAAUGGGCGGAAGCCUGAACCAGCCAAGUAGCGUGAGGGAUGACUGCCCUAUGGGUUGUAAACCUCUUUUAUAAGGGAAUAAAAUACGGGACGUGUCCUGUUUUGCAUGUACCUUAUGAAUAAGGACCGGCUAAUUCCGUGCCAGCAGCCGCGGUAAUACGGAAGGUCCGGGCGUUAUCCGGAUUUAUUGGGUUUAAAGGGAGCGCAGGCGGUCUUAUAAGCGUGACGUGAAAUGCAGCGGCUCAACCGUAUGAUGUGCGUCGCGAACUGUGAGACUUGAGUGUAUUCGAUGUCAGCGGAAUUUGUGGUGUAGCGGUGAAAUGCUUAGAUAUCACGAAGAACUCCGAUUG
rnacentral:rRNA from 1 species